CGAGCUAACACACACACACACGAGUCGCGAAGAUAAUUUGGACGCCGGCUAUAUUAGAGCAGCAGCCGGCUAUGUAUCACGUUUAGAGUCGUCGAGGUCUGAAAAACCGCGCGCCGCGACGCGACGCGUCUGACCGAGCCAUUUUAGUAUAUCACCACUGGUAUAAUAUGGUAUAGAAGUUGGUAGAGAAGCUGCGGCGAUCGAGAAGGAUGCGAUGCGGGGUCCCAGAAGAGGUCCUUGCGUACAAAGCUGUAGCGCUCUUGCGGAGGUUGCAGCGUUUUUAUUACUUUGCGGUUGCAGCCGUGCGGUGGUCGUAAUAUAUUAGCACUCGUUAGAAAACACAAACCAGAGGAUAAAAUAUACUGGGUAGGACGCACCGCGUUUCGUCCGGGCCGGUUGGCCGCCCGUCCCAGAGUGAAUCUUUUGGCCCCUUGGUUAUUUUUGGCUUCAUCCUAUACUCGCUAUUUCUACGUCAUCUUCAACAUCUUCCUUUUUACAAUAUAUAGAACAUGUACACGUACACGCGCGUGUGCAUGUGCGUGCGCGUGGUAAGUACCUGCUGGUAUGAUAUAUACAUGCGGUGUACACUCUUUGAUCAAAUUCAAACCAUAUACCCAGAGAUGAAAGAUGUUGCAAACGAUAUGGGAUGUGAAUUUUAUCCGCAAUUAUUUCUGUCCGAUCUCGUCGAGUUGUGCAGUUGGAUUCAGCGUUUGCUCCGAUGAUUAAAAUGCAGGAACUUUUCUUUUCACUUUGAAAUGUGAAUUAAUUAGUUCGGGAUAUUAUAUUUGCUUGGUGUAAAAAAAAAAAAAAGAUCAAACCCGUACGGGAUCCAAGAAAUUUGAUUUUUUGACGAACCGAAUCGCCUGCGCUCGAAUGAAUGAACUUUUUUGAAUAACUCGGAAGAUUAUUUCG